rnacentral:rRNA from 1 species
CAGGAUGAACGCGAGCGGCGCGCUUAAUGCAUGCAAGUCGAGCGAUGAGACUCCUACGGGAGCACAUCAGCGGCAGACGGGUGAGUAACACGUAGAUGACGUACCCUCAAGACGGGGAUAACGGAUGGAAACAUGCGCUAAUACCGGAUGACCUUACGAUGUCAGAAUGGUAAGGAAAGCUACGGCGCUUGAGGAGCGGUCUGCGGCCCAUCAGCUAGUUGGUAGGGUAAAGGCCUACCAAGGCGAAGACGGGUAGGGGGUGUGAGAGCACGGCCCCCCACAAUGGGACUGAGACACGGCCCAUACUCCUACGGGAGGCAGCAGCAGGGAAUAUUGCACAAUGGACGGAAGUCUGAUGCAGCGACGCCGCGUGAGUGAAGAAGGCCUUCGGGUUGUAAAACUCUUUUGAGGGGGAAGAGCGAGGACGGUACCCCUGGAAUAAGCGUUGGCUAACUACGUGCCAGCAGCCGCGGUAAGACGUAGGACGCGAGCGUUAUCCGGAUUUACUGGGCGUAAAGCGUCUGUAGGCGGAUGUGUAAGUUGGGCGUGAAAGCUCCGGGCUUAACCCGGAGAGGCCGUUCAAUACUGCAUAACUUGAGGGUGUCAGAGGGGAGCGGAAUUCCCGGUGUAGCGGUAAAAUGCGCAGAGAUCGGGAGGAACACCAGUGGCGGAGGCGGUUCCCUGGGGCACACCUGACGCUGAGAGACGAAAGCUAGGGGAGCGAACAGGAUUAGAGACCCUGGUAGUCCUAGCCCUAAACGAUGAAUGCUAGGUGUGGGAUCGAAUGGUUCCGCGCCGGAGCGAACGCGAUAAGCAUUCCGNCUGGGGAGUACGGCCGCAAGGUGUAAACUCAAACGAAUUGACGGUGCCCCGCACAAGCAGCGGAGCGUGUGGUU